UACGUAGGGUGCAAGCGUUGUCCGGAUUUAUUGGGCGUAAAGGGCUCGUAGGCGGUCCGUCACGUCGGAAGUGAGAACCUAGAGCUUAACUCUGGGCCUGCUUUCGAUACGGGCGAACUUGAGUUCGGUAGGGGAGACUGGAAUUCCUGGUGUAGCGGUGGAAUGCGCAGAUAUCAGGAGGAACACCAAUGGCGAAGGCAGGUCUCUGGGCCGAUACUGACGCUGAGGAGCGAAAGCGUGGGGAGCGAACAGG
rnacentral:rRNA from 1 species